rfam:Schistocephalus solidus strain NST_G2 genome assembly, scaffold: SSLN_scaffold0000695
GGCAUCGUCGCUCAGUUGGCUAGAGUGGUGGCUGUACUAAAGCCUUCCCAUUGCUGGCGUGGGUUCGAAUCCCACCGAGGCCA